rnacentral:lncRNA from 1 species
AACUGAAACUCAUGAUGUGGAAAAGGUCAAAACAGUAUUGAAUUCAGAGAGGAGGAAGGAGUUUCAGGAAGAAUUGACAACAGCAUUGCUUUUGCUCUGGGAGGCUUCUCUCCCCCUUUGUGUAGACAAAGGCUGCAGAGGUAAAAGGUUUUGCUUCACUUGGAUAGGAACCAAGCCAGCCACAUGGAAAGAAAAAUAACUUGAGUAUCUCCACCACCGAACUUAGGAAUUUGACCAGAAAGUAGACAAAAAAGUGGAAAAUGCCCUCUGGAGAAAUUGUCACACAAGAAGUAUAACAGAACCUCUGGUUCCAAAGUAUGACUUCUUGUACCUCAUUGGAAAAGGACUCCUAAACUCUAUGUGUACCCAUUUCAUGAUAAGAUUUCAUAGCAGUUCUGAAGCUGAUUAUUAUAAUAAUUAGCCAUUUAUCUUUGUUCAUUAUUCAUAGGUUUGCUAUUUUGCUGAAGUUCAAGAUUUGGUCAUAAUAUAGCAAUUGGUAAAAUGUAUAAAAAGUUUGACUAAAUGUGUUGGACAUGGAGCAGCAGCAGGAAUUAUAAUGUUGGCCACACCUUCCCCCCAAAAAAAAUUUUAUGAAGAACUGAAAGAAGUGAUUUUUAGUCUCUCUUGCAUUAAAUAUGGGGUGGUGCAUUCUUUGAGUCUUUUUCCUGAUGCUGAGGGAGUCUAACCUAUAGUCCUAAUUUUGUCAGUUAUUCAUACCUUUAACAAUCAGACAAAUCUUUCCUCUUUGCUGAGACAUCAAACAAUAUCAACAUAUUCUUAAAAAUUAUCAACAUUGUGAGCAAAGUAGAGCUUCUACUUCUCUCCAGAAACAUCUGUGACACAAUUCGUGGAAAAUCAACAGCUUUGUUAGCACACAGCUUUGUUAGCACACACAAAAUUACAUAGCAUCUCCAUCACCUUUAAAGAAACCUCCCUGAUAUAAUUCUGUUAGGUCCCUAAGUCACAUUUUCUCCUUUCUAAGGUAUAUAUGAGGAGAUAUAAAAAAAGAUUUUUGUACUUUGAUUCAGAUAUUGUUGUGAGAUUACAAAUAUAAUAUGAAUGCCAUUGAAGGCUGGUUCUUUCUAAUGCUGGCCAUAUUGCUAACCUAUGAGUGACCACUGGAGGGGUUAAUUAAUGGCCACAGUUUUAAAGAUCACAUUUAUGUGAUUUAAUCACCUUUAAAUGCCUGCAGAACAAUUAAGAGAUCUGUCCAGUCUCUUGAGGUGCUUCACAUAAUAAAACAUUAUGACAGGCUUAGGGAUAUUGGAUUUUAUAGUGUCUUUAUACAAAAUAUACCACAUUGGUCAUCUCUAACUGAUAAAGCUUCAAUUAGUCAGGUUAUUUAAAUGUGAAAUGGUGGCCUAAUGGAGCUUUACACCUGAUAAUAGCCAGGCAAAAGAGAACAUAUGAAUAACAAGAUGUUUGCUCCACAGACAGAUGAUGGACAAGUCCAUAUCUUUAGUUUUUUUGAAAAAAAUUUAGUAAAGUGGUAGAAACACUUUAUUUGGCCUUAUUUUCUUUCUUUAGCAUUAUUACUUUACUUGGCUAAGGCAAACAUUCUGAAGACUAGUUUGUAAAGUGAAAUCAACAUGGUCAAAAUUCAAAAUUACCUCAAAUUGAUUAGUUUAGUUCAAACAUCUAUGCAGCAUAAUAUUAAUAUAUUAAACUAGCAUUAGAAAUUAAUUCAUUAUAUGUUCAAGAGGCUAUGACAAAACCACCAUCUUCAUGUAAUGGUAGUAAGGUCGUAAAACUUUUGGAAGGUGAUUUGGAAAUGUGUACCUCCAACCAACUAAUUCCGCUGCUGGGAUAUUACAUUAAGAAAAUAAUCCAAAAUAUAGGGGAAAGAACUGUAUCUACUAAUGUACGCAUAGCAACAUUAUUUAUACUAGUAACAACUGGAAAUAAAUUGAAUCCAAAAACAAGUUAGUUUAUAUUAUGGCAAGUCACAUAGCUUUCAAGUCAUAAUUAUGAUGUCUAUUUGUCAGCAUGAAAAAUGCUUUUCUCAUAAUGUUAAGUGAAAAAGUUACAGAAAACUAUAUACAUACUGCUGUUACAAAUAUUAUUACUAAAAUAUUUAUUGUUUAUUAUUUAUACAGAUGUUUGCUUAGGAAAGAUUUGAAGAUUUUUAAAAGUUCAUAUACAAGAAAAUAAACUUGAAG